GGGGAGCUUACAUGGCAGUCGAGGGGCAUCGGGAGGGAAGCUUGCUUUCCUUGCCGGCGACCGGCGCACGGGUGAGCAACACGUAUGCAACCUGCCCUCUUCAGGGGGACAACCUUCCGAAAGGGAGGCUAAUCCCGCGUAUAUCGGUUUCGGGCAUCCGGGAUCGAGGAAAGAUUCAUCGGAAGAGGAUGGGCAUGCGGCGCAUUAGCUUGACGGCGGGGUAACGGCCCACCGUGGCGACGAUGCGUAGGGGUUCUGAGAGGAAGGUCCCCCACACUGGUACUGAGACACGGACCAGACUCCUACGGGAGGCAGCAGUGAGGAAUAUUGGUCAAUGGGAGAGAUCCUGAACCAGCCAAGCCGCGUGAGGGAAGACGGCCCUAUGGGUUGUAAACCUCUUUUGUCGGAGAACAAAACCCGGGACGUGUCCCGGACUGCGUGUAUCCGAAGAAAAAGCAUCGGCUAACUCCGUGCCAGCAGCCGCGGUAAUACGGAGGAUGCGAGCGUUAUCCGGAUUUAUUGGGUUUAAAGGGUGCGUAGGCGGUCCGUUAAGUCAGCGGUAAAAUUGCGGGGCUCAACCCCGUCGAGCCGUUGAAACUGGCAGACUUGAGUUGGCGAGAAGUACGCGGAAUGCGCGGUGUAGCGGUGAAAUGCAUAGAUAUCGCGCAGAACUCCGAUUGCGAAGGCAGCGUACCGGCGCCAGACUGACGCUGAGGCACGAAAGCGUGGGGAUCGAACAGGAUUAGAUAC
rnacentral:rRNA from 1 species